GGCUGCACGAAGGGCAUGCUUGCAUGACUCUGAGUGCAGACAUCAGACGGCAAUGACGACAUGAGCAAGAAGGCCGGCAGGCCGGAUUGCGAAUAUCGGCAUCGAUCGCGGGAGCGCAAAGCGCGGAGCGAUCGGUGU
rnacentral:sRNA from 1 species